GCUAGGGCCAGAGGCACUAGGAUUAAGGAUGUGAGUGCUUCACGCCCUAAGUAGUCUGAAUAAGAUAAAAAGGCAGAAAGAUGUUGGUAAGGUCUCUUGUUGCUUUUGCUGUCUUCCACCGCCAUGAACUGUCGCCUCUCUGCUAAACCAUCCUGCCUCAGAGACACCCGACUAUGAACUGAAACUGCUACAAAGUUUUUUAUGUCUAUUCUGCAAUCAAAUGUUUCAAAACUGUACUUAGUGCUGGUGAGACCAGGUUUUGUCUUUUCAUAUAAAAAUACUAUCAUAGAGCACAUUUUUGGAUAACAGCCAAAGAUCGGAGAGAAUCUAAAUUUCAUUCAACAGAAAUCUGCUUCGCUAAAUGUAUGGGGAUCGAUCUCGGGUCCUUGCGUUCCGCAGCAGGUGGUGAAACCACUGAGCUAAAAAAAUCCCCGGCCACAUCAAGGAAUUUAAAAGGAAGAUGAACUUAACUUGAGAUGGCUUUACAGAUGAGAUAUGAAGAAAAAAAGGACUUUGGAACUGUACGGGGUAUUGAUUUGAAGAGACGCGAAGGAAAUGAAUAAAUGGGAUGUCUUGUCUCUUCUCUGAAAUUUGCAGUUUUUCUUUGCUAGAAGCAGAUCUGGGUCUAGAGUGCAUUCCUUCUUGGAGCCCUGGGGUCUGGGACGGGCCUUUCAUCACACACCAGGGGGCAGCGCCGGGGAUGCAUGGAUGGUGCUGCAGCCCCAGUCUCAGGGCCCUGCCCGGCCUGGGCUCCUGCUGAUGCUCUGCAGCAUGUGCCUUCCAGUAGGUGCAGACCCCUGGGAGAGGCCCUCAUAAGAUGCUGUCAAGCUUGGGCUCUCAGAUGAGUACAAGAGACUUGAAGAAGAGACUUGAACCCUAUAUUCCACUCCUGCCUCUGUUGCUGAUAGUUUUAAUAACUACUGGGAAACUGAGAUAAAAAAAAACUGAGCCUUUUUUAUGUGGAUUUAACGGUAUGACAUUUGCCUCCACAGGUAUUUUAUUUUGGGACCCGAAAAUGGAAGAUGCCAGGUGUGUGUGAAUGAUUUGCUUUGACGUGAUAUACCCUAGUUCUAUUCCCCUUGUCUCC